UCAUACUAAAUAGAGAAAAUGAUAAAUAACAAAAAAGGUACAACUAAAUGAAAGAAACGAAAUAACAACCAGUAAAUCACAAACACAACAAACUGAAAACAGUUCCUCAAUUAUGUUAGGAGCAAUUUAAGGAAAUUAUCGUUUUCUCUCAUUCCUCCACUUGUAUACCGGUUUUCCGUUUACGACCUUCUUUUUCUGACGGCCUCCUUUUCCCUGUAAAAGUCUAUCAAGCUCGACACGUUCUUCAGCAGCCGCCAAUU